rnacentral:rRNA from 1 species
ACGUGGGAUGCAGUCAAGGUUUUGGGUAUUGUUGAGGAUGAUGUGCGUGUUCCAUGUACGACAGGAGGUUUGGUUUAUCAAAUGAAGACUUUUAGCUUUGUGUUCAUCCUGAAGAUGAUGCUAAAAAUCCUUCGCAUGACAAAUGAUUUGUUUCUUCUAUUGCAAAAGAAGGAUCAAAAUGUUGUUCAGGCAAUGUCAUUGGUUACGGAUGUGAGAACACGUUUGAUCAACUGGAGAAAUCAUGGUUGGGAGCCACUCUUGGAAGAUGUCAAAGCCUUUUGCACCAAAAACGACAUUCCGAUACCAAAUAUGGAUGACAUCUUUACAAAGUGGGGAAAAUCAAGAAAAGGUGGACGAAACAAUGUCACGGCUAAUCAUUUUUUCCGCGUGGACACCUUCUAUGCUGCCAUUGACUCCAUCACCACAGAGUUUGAUCGUCGUUUUAAUGAGGUAUCUUCAGAUCUGCUCCAGAACUUCUCUUGUCUUGACCCAAGAAACUGCUUUUCUAGGUUCAAUGUGAAUAAGCUUGCUAGACUCACAGAGAUUUAUCAUGAAGAUUUCUCAGAUUAUGAACGUGAACAUAUAGUUGAUAACCUAGAGCUAUUCAUUAUCCAUAUGAGAAGAAUUGAAGACUUUAGAGCUUGUCAUGAUAUUGCAAGUCUAGCUAAAAAGAUGGUUGAACUUGAAAGACAUGUCAUGUUUCCUGCUGUUUAUCGCCUCAUUGAGUUGGCAUUG